GUUCAACGGCCGCGGUAUCCUAACCGUGCAAAGGUAGCAUAAUCACUUGCCCAUUAAUUGUGGGCUAGAAUGAAAGGACUAACGAAAUAAAGACUGUCUCUAUAAGCAAAAUAAAAAUUAAUUUCUAACUGAAGANUGUUAGAUUAUGUCGAAGGACAAGAAGACCCUAUAGAGCUUAAUUCUAAUAAAAAUAUAUAUUUUAAUAAAAUUCGGUUGGGGCGACCAGGGAAUAAAAAUCAUCCCUACUCAAAAGAUAUAUAAAUCUUUAAAAUGACCCUUAAACAAGAUCAUAAAAACAAGCUACCUUAGGGAUAACAGGCUAAUCCCAUUAAAGAGUUCUUAUCAAUAGUGGGGGUUGGCACCUCGAUGUUGGCUUAGGGAAUCUAUGCGGCGCAAAAGUCGUAUAAAGAUGGUUUGUUCAACCAAUAACCCCUACAUGAGCUGAGUUCAGACCGGCGUAAGCCAGGUUAGUUUCUAUCCUCCAUAAAAGUACCUAUUUAUAUUACGAAAGGACCUACAUAAGGGUAGUUAUUAUAUACAAACAAGGAAUCUUAAAUUUUAAUAUAUUCGACAAUAAUAAUCU
rnacentral:rRNA from 1 species